GCUGAGUCCUGGACACCCAACACUUUAAAUGAGGCCUGGGGAGACAUUUACUGAGGAUCUGGCCCCUGCCCCAAGAAAGGGGGUCCCAGGCCAAAAAGCUGAGUAAACAGAUAUUUUUGCCACAGUGUGUGCCUGUUCCUUUGUGCAAGUCCAGACCGGUUUGUCCUCGCAUCCCUUCCUUGCCCUUCCUCUGCUCCACGGCCUCCUGCAGGGAGCUGAUCCCUGACGUCUCCUAGGUUCCCAGGUCAGCUGGCUGCUGGCUGGACUCUGGCCAGGCCAGCGGUGCACCAGUUGGAGGUGGGGGCAGCACUUCCAGAUGCAGCUCCAGGGCCUGCUGGACAGGCCCCCUGUGAUUCUGCCUUCUUCUAGGCUGUAGUGACAUCACCCCUGUCCUUUGUCCCUCCUGCCUGGAGGUGUCAAUGACUUCUGACUGGGGUCUCCCUGCCCCUCAUGGGCUUCUCAACUUCUUCUGUCACAUAUGUAACCAUUUCUCUGAAUAAAUUCCCUUUGUUUAAAA
rnacentral:lncRNA from 1 species